AUUGAACGCUGGCGGCAUGCUUUACACAUGCAAGUCGGACGAGUGGCGAACGGGUGAGUAACGCAUCGGAACGUACCUAGUAAUCGGGGAUAACUGUCCGAAAGGACAGCCAAUACCGCAUAUUAUUCGAGCGGCCGAUGUCUGAUUAGCUGGUUGGCGGGGUAAAGGCCCACCAAGGCGACGAACGGUAGCGGGUCUGAGAGGAUGCACCUCAAAACAGGGACUGAGACACGGCCCAGAAUCCUACGGGAGGCAGCAGUGGGGAAUUUUGGUCAAGGGGCGCAAGCCUGAUCCAGCCAUGCCGCGUGUAUGAAGAAGGCCUUCGGGUUGUAAAGGACUUUUGUCAGGGAAGCGGUACCAGAAGAAUAAGCACCGGCUAACUACGGGCCAGCAGCCGCGGUAAUGC
rnacentral:rRNA from 1 species